rnacentral:misc_RNA from 1 species
GAUGAAGAACGCAGCGAAAUGCGAUAAGUAAUGUGAAUUGCAGAAUUCCGUGAACCAUCGAAUCUUUGAACGCACAUUGCGCCCGGCAGUAAUCUGCCGGGCAUGCCUGUCCGAGCGUCAUUUCUCCCCUCGAGCGCAGCUUUCCCCCCCGGGGGAGGGCCGCGCCCGGUGUUGGGGCGCUACGGAGGAGCCCAGCGCUCCCCCGUAGGCCCCGAAAUGUAGUGGCGGUCCCGCCGCGGCGCCCCCUGCGUAGUAGUUUUACAACUCGCAUCGGGUCCCGGCGGAGGCCAGCCGUCAACCCCCCCAACUUCAAUAGUUUGACCUCGGAUCAGGUAGGGUUACCCGCUGAACUUAAGCAUAUCAAUAAGCGGAGGA